rnacentral:lncRNA from 1 species
UUGAAGGUAUCUCCAUCGUUGCCUCUGGUACCUCGCAGUUUCCCCCCACUUCCCUCUUUGAUUCCUUGCUUUAGUUUCCAGAAGUUUAUUAUCUGGUGAACAAGAAGGUGGGUGCAACAAUGGCUCUAGGAUCAAAUAAGCUUGAAGCUGCAGGCAAGAAAAAUCGUAGGAACCAGAGGUUGCUUCCUCCCGUUAGAGGACAAAUAAAGCGCCGAAUACUUGCUUGCUUCAUGAGGAACAUCAAGCUUGGGAGCCAAAAUUCCCUGAAGUUUCUUUUGGGCAAGUGUGGUCAUCCAUCCGAGCUAAGCUAGCUAGAUGGUUUGCAGUUGCUUACACUUGUUCCCGCAUCACACACACGAACACACAGUUUCAUCAUGAUGCAAACUUGUUAUUCUCGUGUGCAAAGUUUUGUUGCAGAUUGAGAGAUGACAAGAUAGUGCAGCUGAUGAACAAGUAGAAUUAUUUUUAAAUGAGUGCUAGAGCUCGGAAGUUAUGAGAGGAAAGUUCUGUUUUGACGUUUGAAAGCGUUAUGCAUUUUUUCUACAUAAUUAGUGCAUGUUCUUAAUCUUCGGUAUUUCUUUUGUUAACAUAUGUAGAUGAAAUUCUAUUGCCUCACAAGAUUUCUGUCACAAGUUGUGGUUGUUGCAGUUUGCAGUAACAUAUCCAGGAUUAAUAACAAUCACAGCAAUAUUAACAAAAGCUAAUUCGGGAGAGAAAAACAUUGUUCGUCGUUGUAAGAG